GACGAACGCUGGCGGCGUGCUUAACACAUGCAAGUCGAACGAUGACACCCGAACUUGCUGGGUCUGAGGAGGGGCGGACGGGGGAGGAAGACGUGAGCAACCUGCCCUUCACUCUGGGGGAACCUCGGGAAGGCGGGGCUACGACAGGAUAUGAGAUCCUGUCCCGGGGCGGGCGUUGGAAAGUCUUUCGGUGAGGGAUGGGCUGGCGGGCUAUCGGUUUGUUGGGGUGGUGGGGGAUAACCAAGGCGAGGGCGGGUAGCGUCCCUGUGCGGCUGACCGGCGACCCUGGGCCCGAGGGACGGCCCCGACUCCUACGGUAGGCAGCAGUGCGGAAGCUUGCACAAUGGGCGCAGGCCUGAUGCAGCAGCGCCGCGUGUGGUAUGACCGCUUUCUGGUUGUAGACCUCUUUCAGCUGGAAAGAAGCGAGAGUGACGGUACCUGAAGAAGAAGCGCCGGCUAACUACGUG
rnacentral:rRNA from 1 species